rnacentral:rRNA from 1 species
UACGUAGGUCUCAAGCGUUAUCCGGAUUUACUGGGCGUAAAGUGUCCGCAGCCUGAUAUGUAAGUCAGUUUUCAAAUAUCCCGGCUCAACCGGGAGAAGGGAAUAGAUACUGCAUAUCUAGAGAGGAUUGGAGGUUAGUGGAAUUUCCGGUGGAGCGGUGAAAUGCGUUGAUAUCGGAAAGAACGCCGAAAGCGAAAGCAGCUAACUAUGAUCACUCUGACGGUGAGGGACGACAGCAUGGGGAGCAAACGGGAUUAGAUACCCCGGUAGUCCAUGCCGUAAAUUAUGUCUGCUAGGUGUUUCUCCGGUAAUUAUGUUUGUCAGCAAAUAAAUGUAAUUACCGGAGGGGUGCCGUAAUCUAACGAGUUAAGCAGAUCGCCUGGGUAGUAUAUUCGCAAGAAUGAAACUCAAAGGGAUAGGCGGGGGAACACACAAGCAGUGGAUGAUCUAGAUUAAUUGGAUGAUAAGCCAAGAAUCUUACCCAGACUUGACAUGGAUUGUGUCUACGGUGAAAGCCGUAUAUUCGUAGCAAUACGGAGCUUUCCACAGAUGGUGCAUGGUCGCCGUCAGCUCGUGCCGCAAGGUGUCUAGUUAAGUCUAGUAACGAGCGCAACCCUCAUCGUUAGUUAGUAUGUCUAACGAGACUACCCGCGUAAGCGGGAGGAAGGAGAGGAUGACGUCAGAUCCUCAUGCCUCUUACGUCUGGGGCUUCAUAGAUCAUACAAUGGGUAGUAACAAUGAGAAGCAAUACCGUGAGGUGGAGCAAAUCUUUAAACCUACCCCUAGUUCGGAUUGUAGUCUGGAACUCGACUACAUGAAGUUGGAAUUGCUAGUAAUGGUGAAUCAGCCAUGUCACCGUGAAUAUGUCCCUGUUCCU